CCAUAAUUGACCGGUCUUAGGACCCUAGAGGUUAAGCCCAGAAAUUAAGAAUUGGAAUUUUUGGAGAAAUCACCAAAACAAAUCCCUGAAUAUUACAGUGUUAACUGUAGGAAAGACGCCUAUCCAGGUGGAACUCAGGUGGGUAGGAAAGUAUCCCCCUUGCUUCAUAUUUGAGGGAAAUAAUCUCCAACGCCUUCAAUUGGGGAGCUUCUUAGAAGGAAUAGCCAGAAAGAAAAUGUUUGCUAACCACAGAAUAAAAAAAGGAGGUCCAAGACUGAGAAGAUGAAAAUCCACAUGUAGCAGAUGUGACAAGAAUGAAGAAUGAACAAAAAAGAUUGAGAAGGUGCAGUUGAACACAUAGAAGGAAAACAACCAAGAGAAACAGAAAGAGAACAGAGGAGGAGGGUACUGUGGUUCUCAGGAUCUGCCUCCAGAUGAGGGUGAUGGUCAAAUACCAACUUACCCUUAAAAUAAAAGAAAAUCUAAAGACAUAUUAGAUAUGAAAGCAAACAUUUUUUGUCAGCAGGAGCUUGGGAAAGCCAACAAUAAUGUCCUAGUCUUCAAAUGCUGCUGUGAAGUGGAUCUAAGGACUUGCUUUUCGCUGGCAUAAGGUUCUUCCAAGCUGAAAAAGGCUACAAGCGCCAAAUGAUGAUAGAUUAUAUGCCUGUCAUGCAAAGACAAGUUCUAUUAAAUUUAGAUACAAUCAUCACCAGAAGAAUGGCCACAACAACUCAUAAACUAUUUACUAAGACCUGGAAUUGAGGGUAUGCUUGUGAAAAUGCUAAGGAAAAAAAAAAGACAACAGCAAGAAAGAGGAAGAGGCUUGCAACAGUUGGGAAAUAAGCUGAAAACAUAAUAGUUAUUUGCUAAAUAACAGAUUACAUGGAUGAAUCUAACAUACAUCUAGCCUAAAUGAAUUAACCUUAUUUAUUAAGUGGCCUGGGGGAUAGAGUGAUGGGCCUGAAGUCAGGGAAACUCAACUUCCUAAGUUUAAAUCU